AUAAUAAUCCCUCCGUCCGGAAUUACUUGUCAUCAAAAUGGAUGUGUCUAGAACUAAAAUACAUCUAGAUACAUCCAUUUCAAUGACAAGUAUUUUUGGACGGAGGUAGUAGUAG
rnacentral:pre_miRNA from 1 species